rnacentral:rRNA from 1 species
CCUACGGGGGGCAGCAGUGGGGAAUAUUGCACAAUGGGCGCAAGCCUGAUGCAGCCAUGCCGCGUGUGUGAAGAAGGCCUUCGGGUUGUAAAGCACUUUCAGCGGGGAGGAAGGCGGUGAGGUUAAUAACCUUAUCGAUUGACGUUACCCGCAGAAGAAGCACCGGCUAACUCCGUGCCAGCAGCCGCGGUAAUACGGAGGGUGCAAGCGUUAAUCGGAAUUACUGGGCGUAAAGCGCACGCAGGCGGUCUGUCAAGUCGGAUGUGAAAUCCCCGGGCUCAACCUGGGAACUGCAUUCGAAACUGGCAGGCUAGAGUCUUGUAGAGGGGGGUAGAAUUCCAGGUGUAGCGGUGAAAUGCGUAGAGAUCUGGAGGAAUACCGGUGGCGAAGGCGGCCCCCUGGACAAAGACUGACGCUCAGGUGCGAAAGCGUGGGGAGCAAACAGGAUUAGAUACCCCGGUAGUC